CUUGGAGGCGGAAGCAAGGGAAGAUGGAAGGCUAUGCAAAAUCUGGGUCUGCACCCGGACUAUAAUUCAGAAUCCUACAAGGAUUGGCCAGGGCCAGAAGGACAGAAAACAGACCUAAGAAAUAGAGUGGAAAUUUCAUUAAUAUCAAGAUUUGGUCUCACCAGCUGCUGGAUACAAAAGGAACUGAAUAAAAAUGGAGUCAUCCACCGGGAAGCAUGGUGCUUGUCCACCUGGCAAUUGAUCAAAUUAAUUAUUUACAAAUAAUAAAGGAGCAUGGUGAUCCAGUUAUGCUGAACAAAAUUAAUUUGAGGACCUAUCUAUGUAACUUGCAUGGGAAGUGCAUGUAUGUCAUGGGUCUGUCUGUGAUCACAUGUGCCUGUGAUUAUAUCCUUCAUACACAAAUGUGCUACUACCGACACUCUGUGUGUCAAGAGUCAG
rnacentral:lncRNA from 1 species